CCUCAUCAACUGUCAUUCUAAUUUUUCUCUCUUACAUAAUGCUCACUUUGGAGCUACCUUAGGUGGAAACUCUCUGCUUUCUCUCCAAUCUUUUGUACGAAAGAGAUUUCUUUGAGAGAAAGAGAUUUUUUUUUGAGAGAGACUAAUCUUUUGUCUUAGAAAUAAGGAGAGCCAGUCAAUACCAAGUGGUUAUUCAAGUGAAAAGAAUCAAGAAAUGGGUUUUGUUUCAGAGAAGGAAGAAGAGAAUCACUCUCUAUCCAUGGGAAGCAAUACCAAAGCUUCUUUAAUGGGUGGUUCUUGGUGGUGGCAAAAUGUGAAGCCAUUUGUGAGUGGUGGAUCAGCAGCAUUACUAACAGAACUACAGUUUCUCUUGGUGGAAUCUGCUAUCUAUUACCUUCGAAGUUAUGAAAAGGAAUCUGCGGCAAAGGCCUUUAAGCAGCUGCCUCACCUUCAAAAUCUCAAGAAAAGGAAGUUUACAUUCCCUUGGAGCUACCAUCGGUGCUAUGACAUUCGGAUCAGUCGAGCAAGUGACUAAGAGUCUUUGUUCCACGAGUACCAAUCUAUGCAACCUGCAGGAAAAGAAAAUGAUUAGUAUUGGCUACAUGACCACAAUAUAAAUGUUUGUAGUGAUUUGGUUGGUUAGAAAGGGUUUUUGAGAAUAUAAGCAAAUAGAUACAAUCAUCAAUUGCUUCUUUUCUCUCAUAUGUUUAUGCAUGGUGUUGAACUGGAACUUUCUGUUAACAGUCAAUGAUGUCUUUGGUUUUACUAGGAUUUUGACCAGAAAGGCCAUUGCUGCCAAUCAUGGUAUACCUCAAGCAUUCAUCAGGAAGCCUGUAUUUGCCGGAACUGUUGGAGCAUGCGUGGCUGCUCCAAUAGCUACAGCCUUCUAUCAUGCGGGGACUAAGAUAGUACCAGGGGCAAAAAAGCUGACUUGUGGGGAUGUCUUCAGAGCUUAAUUUAUACCGUAUCAGUACAAAUCAAGGGCUUUCAGCAUUAUGGAAACAUGGAUUAUUUUGGAAUUUCACAGCAUUUUAUGCAGGCAUGCUCGCUCCAUAUAAUCAAAGUUACCAUUAUUUCAAGGUUCCCGUGGUUUUGGUGAAUUUCAAACUCAAAUGAGCAAGUUCUCUUCUUUCAGAAAGAAUUUGUGGUUUGUUUGAUGACUAGGAUUGGUUGUGUGCGUGUAAGAUCAUAUAGCAAAUUUCAUCACACACAUUUGAUAUCUUUUGUUUCAGGUGCAGGUGCUGUUUCAGCAUUUGCUGCCUCAGCCUGUUGUGUACCGGUCAAGAAUGUUCGAUCAUAUAUGUAAGCUAUGAGACCCAAUGCUGAUGGAAAGUCCUGAAAGCUAGAGAGCUUGUGGGGCUCUACAAAGGAUUUCCACUGUUUCUUUGCAGGAGUUUACCUGCUACCACGGUACUCCCUCUUUCUCCGCACACAAGCUCAUCCACGCAUUCAUGUCCACAUUUCAAUUCUAAGAGUUGUGUUGUGUGGUCCCGCACCAUAUGAUGGGGGACCGUCACAUUAAUUAGUAAGAGACAGCCUUUCUAUCUCUUUAAAUUAAAUGAGCUGCCACUGUAGAUGGCAGUAGCAAAAACGGGAGAAAAGAGAGCAGAGAAAAACGAGAGAAAAGAGAAGAAGAGGCAGCAGAGCAGCCUGCGUUCUUUCUUCGAUUUCCAGCUCGUUCACCGUUGGAUCGGGCUGAGAUUUUGACAGUAGCUUCUAGACACGUUCCUCUUCAUUCUGGACGGUUGGAUCGAAGAUUGGUGGUGUGAAAGCUGGCCGUUUUGACAAAAAACGGGGCUGUCAGUAUUGUGAGUUUUUCUCAAAUAAUUCUCCUUUAAUCUUGUUGUAAUCCGAAAAUAAGUAGUUCUUGAUGAUAUAUAUGUUGUAGCCCUUAGUUGAAUCUGAGGAAGAACAAUUGUGAACCCAUUAUUUGUUGAUAGUGGAAGUUUUUAGGUGGA